GCGUCGCCUCCGUCCGCGGCUCGCGGCCUGCAUCCCCACGGCAGUCGCGCCGGCCGCCUGCCGCCGACGCUGCUGUCCCUGACGCCACCGACGUUGCGACGCCAAGCAGGGCAAGGCGGCCAGGCGCGCCUCAUUCAGCCCCUCCCCUCCUUGACCUCCCUCCCCUCUGCUCCUGCGUUCCCAAGGGCAGCAAGCCUCGCCGGCUGGCCGGCCGCGGUUGCCGUCCGUCCCUCCCCCCAAACCCAAGCUCCCAGAGAAGGAUCAGUUGCAGCUCCAUGGUCAUGAGGCCAUGCAUCGGUCUGUGCUAGAGCUAGACCGUGAAAGGAGCAGCGGGCAGCCGCAGCAAUGCCUGGCCAUGGGAAUUCCAAGUCAUCACGAUUCAAGUGCAUACAGCCAUACACCAUGGAAACAGCUUGCAAAGUGUUCGACAGAAUGCUCAUGAGGAGAAUAGGGACAGCAACAUGAGGAUAGUGGUUGUCUGAUCUCCCUGUUGUGCUCUAAUAACCACAUCAAGAGCAUGCCUACUUCUCUACCAGGAUCUCCUGAACCUUGGCAACAUAUUAUUGGAAGUGAAGUCCAAGAAGACACACAGUGGCUACAAAAGAUGGAGGAGAGCACCUGGCUCCUCCAUGACCUGAAAAUGGGCGAAUAAAGUUGUAGGUGGAUAAAUGGUUAGAAAAUUUGAACUAGAGAUAAAAUAUGAUCCAAAUGGAAUUUCAGAGAAUGCAGCUUCACUUAUCCAAGCAGGUUAAAUGGCAGAGAUUUCUUCCAGAAUAAGUGGAAUGUGGCAUGUAUGGCCUGAGCACGCCAAUGCAGAGCUCUGGUGAGGCCCUACCUCACCAGCAUCGGGGCACCGGCAGUAGGCUGACAACAGAGGUGGUGCACAGAAACAACAUUUAUAUUGGCUCAACCCUGCUAACUAGAGUAUAUCUGCAGCACCUUUAGUUCGGUAAGAUUCGCUUACUCCAUGCAUGAUCUAUGCUAGGACCAUUAACUGCUACUACUUAUUUCCUUUUCCUUUGAAAAAAUAUUGCUGUGUUCAUUUAUAUCAAUUCACAUCAACAUAGCUUGUGAUAUUGAUGUAAGAUAGUCUAGGCUUAGUGUUCUUUAGCUCUAUAAAAUAUUUAUAGGGAGAGCUUAUAUAACUAUAUGUUUGCAAACUACUGAGAGCUCCAUCGAGAGCUCCUAUAUCAUAUUAAAUUAUUAAGAGUUCCUAUAUCCUUAUUGUUCCAAAAAAAACUAACUGCAUCUAGAGUUAAUGAGUCCAAGAAUUCAUUCAUGGUGGACAUAUUCAUAUGUGAAAGAUCUUUCAGACAAUUGGUUUAACAGACCCAUGUAAAACUCCCCGCAGAAGGGAUAUAGUUUUCAAUGAAACACUAAUAUUUGUUACCAUUCAAAGCACUAAUAUUUUUAACUAAAUUUCAUAGUUUACAAAAUUCUAAAUAACUAAAUUGAUACAAAGUAAAUAUGAGCGCGCGCGAAGGCGCGCGUAAUGUACUCG